rnacentral:lncRNA from 1 species
UUACAGUGGUUUAUUCCUUGUUCCCCAGGUGUGUGAGUCAGGGUCCUGGCAGCAAGCACACUCAAGUGGAUUUGGGAAAGAGCUGGAUGAAGAGACUAUUUACAGAGGUGGAAGAAAAAUCUGAUGCAGCAGAUUCCCUCUGGAUAGAACCACUCAGGAGAGAAGGAACCAUGAUGAGUGCGAGAGAAUAAUCACUGUUGAACUCUGGCCAAGGCACCAAGCUGAACUUUGCAUCACGACACUUCCCAUCUUUAAGCAGCCCUGUGAGGUAGGUGCUAUGAAUCCCCUUUGCGCGUCAAGUAAGCUGAGGUGCAGAAAAAUGAAGUAACUUGCCUGAGG